CUAUCACGAGCACUGUCGCGACCGUCGCAAUGACACUCGGCGAAACUAUAUAGGCCUAAUCUGUUAAGGCCGACAUUAUUUUUAAAAAGUGUAGGGUUUUCUUAAAACGCAGUUUCUUGUAUUUAACGCUAGGCGGACAGCUAUUAUCAGAAUACUAUGAGAUUUUUAUUGCAAUUCUUACCUUCUAAUUGUCACCUCGGGUGUCGCUCUCCAGACCAACGCUCGUGCUUUCCAAGCGCACGCGCAGAAGGCAGAGACAAAAAUAUAAAUGAAGCUGUGAUAAUAAGGCUUAGUGGAAACACGCAUUCGCAGACAGUUCAGACUCGGAACAGGAUGAUGAUCCGGCUGAAGCCAAGAUUUUCUGUCUUGUUUUUAUCAUCUUGAAAAGAAGCAGCCGGCUCCUGUAACACGCCGAGGCGGCCGGGGAAGGGGGCGGAGACGGGGACAAGCCAGCCACAGCUGGGGGCUAAUUACUGCCUCCAUUAGACCGAGACCGAGACCACGACCACGACCGAGAGUCUGCGGACGACGCAGCCGAGACCGAGUCGGCUCCCCCCCCCCUCUUGUCUCCUCCCAGGCGCCGCGGCUGAAUAAAUAAAAGACGCCAACAGGCGAGCGCUGCACCAGCCCUCCUGUCCGACUUUGUGCGUUGCGCUCCCUUCUUUGUUUUUCACUUCAGUAUCAGCAAUAUUGGCAAUA